rnacentral:misc_RNA from 1 species
GAUGAAGAACGUAGUGAAAUGCGAAAAGUAAUGUGAAUUGCAGAAUUCAGUGAAUCAUCGAAUCUUUGAACGCACAUUGCGCCUGCUGGUACUCCGGCGGGCACGCCUGUCCGAGCGUCAUUUCAACCCUCAAGCCCUCCUUCGGGAUGGGCCUGGUGUUGGGGCUCGGCCGCCAUCUCCGGCGGCCGUCCCCUAAAUACAGUGGCGGUCACGUCGCGACUCCUUUGCGUAGUAGAAACACCUCGCUCCGGAUAGCAACGCGGUCCACGCCGUAAAACCCCCAAUUUUCAAUGGUUGACCUCGGAUCAGGUGGGAAUACCCGCUGAACUUAAGCAUAUCAAUAAGCGGAGGA